rnacentral:rRNA from 1 species
UACGUAGGGGGCGAGCGUUGUCCGGAUUUAUUGGGCGUAAAGAGCUCGUAGGCGGUUUGGUAAGUCGGAUGUGAAAUCUCCAGGCUCAACCUGGAGGGGUCAUUCGAUACUGCCGUGACUAGAGUUCGGUAGAGGAGUGUGGAAUUCCUGGUGGAGCGGUGAAAUGCGCAGAGAUCAGGAGGAACACCCGUAGCGAAGGCGGCACUCUGGGCCGAUACUGACACUGAGGAGCGAAAGCGUGGGGAGCGAACAGG